ensembl:misc_RNA 7SK 7SK RNA
GGAUGUGAGAGCGAUCUGGCUGUGACAUCUGUCACCCCACUGAUUGCCAGGGUUGAUUCGGCUGCUCUGGCUGGCUAGGCGGGUGUCCCCUUCCUCCCUCACUGCUCCAUGUGUGUCCCUCCAGAAGCUGCGCACUCGGUUGAAGAGAACGGCCUUCCCCGAAUAGAGACGGACCGGUCUUCCAUCGAGCAUAUACGAGUAGCUGCACCCCCCUGCUAGAACCUCCAAACAAGCUCCCAAAUGAGAGUACCUGCUGAUCGAAGACCUUGCACCACAUGGGAGGAACAAAUACAAAAGCAGGUGGAAUUCCAUGGAUGGUGGAGCAAGGCUUUUGUCUCUCCUU